AUUGAACGCUGGCGGCAGGCCUAACACAUGCAAGUCGAACGAGUGGCGGACGGGUGAGUAAUGUCCGGGAACCUGCACGAUGGAGGGGGUUAACUACUGGAAACGGUAGCUAAUACCGCAUACAAUCAGAUGUGCCCAGAUGGGAUUAGCUUGGUGGUGGGGUAACGGCUCACCAAGGCGCCGAUCCCUAGCUGGUCUGAGAGGAUGACCAGCCACACUGGAACUGAGACACGGUCCAGACUCCUACGGGAGGCAGCAGUGGGGAAUAGUGCACAAUGGGCGCAAGCCUGAUACAGCCAUGCCGCGUGUAUGAAGAAGGCCUUCGGGUUGUAAAGUACUUUCAGCGGGGAGGCGUUACCCGCAGAAGAAGCACCGGCUAACUCCGUGCCAGCAGCCGCGGUAAUAC
rnacentral:rRNA from 1 species